GGCGCUGUAGCUCAGUUGGCAAGAGCAUGAAUGAGGGCGCGGGUUCGAGUCCCGCCGGCGUCA
rnacentral:tRNA from 1 species